rnacentral:lncRNA from 1 species
UUGUUUCUUUAAACUUUUGCAGGGAGGAAGUGAGGGAACACUGAACUGAAUAUGGGUCGCGCCAGUUUUCUGCAAUGGAAGUGGAUUUUGGAAGAAGGUCUGGGAUUUUUUUGUCCUCGUGAGAGGGGAGCUGGGAGACACCAAGUUCCGUCCAAUCAGUCAUAUAGAUAAAAAAUAGUGUGAUAUGAAAUUUGGCUUGUAGACCG